GACGAACGCUGGCGGCGUGCUUAACACAUGCAAGUCGAACGGAAAGGCCCUGCUUUUGUGGGGUGCUCGAGUGGCGAACGGGUGAGUAACACGGGAGUAACCUGCCCUUGACUUUGGGAUAACUUCAGGAACUGGGGCUAAUACCGGUUAGGAGCUCCUGCUGCAUGGUGGGGGAUGGAAAGUUUCGGCGGUUGGGGAUGGACUCGCGGCUUAUCAGCUUGUUGGGUGGGUAGUGGCUUACCAAGGCUUGGACGGGUAGCCGGCCUGGGAGGGUGACCGGCCACAUUGGGACUGAGAUACGGCCCAGACUCCUACGGGAGGCAGCAGUGGGGAAUAUUGCACAAUGGGCGGAAGCCUGAUGCAGCAACGCCGCGUGCGGGAUGACGGCCUUCGGGUUGUAAACCGCUUUCGCCUGUGACGAAGCGUGAGUGACGGUAAUGGGUAAAGAAGCACCGGCUAACUACGUG
rnacentral:rRNA from 1 species